rnacentral:rRNA from 1 species
GACAGAGGGUGCAAACGUUGCUCGGAAUUACUGGGCGUAAAGCGUGUGUAGGCGGCUUUGCAAGUCGGAUGUGAAAGCCCCGGGCUCAACCCGGGAAGUGCACUCGAUACUGCAGAGCUUGAGUGUCGGAGAGGUUGGUGGAAUUCUCGGUGUAGAGGUGAAAUUCGUAGAUAUCGAGAGGAACACCGGCGGCGAAGGCGGCCAACUGGACGACUACUGACGCUGAGACACGAAAGCGUGGGGAGCAAACAGG